rnacentral:rRNA from 1 species
AUUGAACGCUGGCGGCAUGCCUUACACAUGCAAGUCGAACGGUAACAGGUCUUCGGAUGCUGACGAGUGGCGGACGGGUGAGUAAUACAUCGGAACGUGCCCAGACGUGGGGGAUAACGAGGCGAAAGCUUUGCUAAUACCGCAUACGAUCUAAGGAUGAAAGCAGGGGACCGCAAGGCCUUGCGCGUUUGGAGCGGCCGAUGGCAGAUUAGGUAGUUGGUGGGAUAAAAGCUUACCAAGCCGACGAUCUGUAGCUGGUCUGAGAGGACGACCAGCCACACUGGGACUGAGACACGGCCCAGACUCCUACGGGAGGCAGCAGUGGGGAAUUUUGGACAAUGGGCGAAAGCCUGAUCCAGCAAUGCCGCGUGCAGGAUGAAGGCCUUCGGGUUGUAAACUGCUUUUGUACGGAACGAAAAGGCUCUGGCUAAUACCUGGGGCACAUGACGGUACCGUAAGAAUAAGCACCGGCUAACUACGUG